AGGUCAGAGCAGAUGGAGGUUCGU
rnacentral:miRNA from 1 species